GAUGAACGCUAGCGGCAGGCUUAAUACAUGCAAGUCGAGGGACAGCACAGGUAGCAAUACUGGGUGGUAACCGGCAAACGGGUGCGGAACACGUACACAACCUUCCUUUAAGUGGGGGAUAGCCCAGAGAAAUUUGGAUUAAUACCCCGUAAUAUAGUUGAAUGGCAUCAUUUGAUUAUUAUAGCUACGGCGCUUAAUGAUGGGUGUGCGGCUGAUUAGAUAGUUGGCGGGGUAACGGCCCACCAAGUCUACGAUCAGUAGCUGAUGUGAGGGGAUGAUCAGCCACACGGGCACUGAGACACGGGCCCGACUCCUACGGGAGGCAGCAGUAAGGAAUAGUGGUCAAUGGACGCAAGUCUGAACCCGCCCUGCCGCGUGAAGGAUUAAGGUCUUCUGGAUUGUAAACUUCUUUUAUUUGGGCCGAAAAAGGGCCUUUCUAGGUCAACUGACGGUACCAGAUGAAUAACCACCGGCUAACUCCGUGCCAGCAGCCGCCGUAAGAC
rnacentral:rRNA from 1 species